GUGUUCUAGGGGCUUCUUGCCGCUUCUGCAGACUCAGGCCGAUUGGCAGAGUGAUGUCAGCUGACACAGACCUCAAGUGGAGUUUUGAUAAGACAGACUCUUGUGGUGAGGCGUGAAGUGGUCGUGGCACUUGAGUAGAGGCUUGCAGCAGUUGGUUCUCUUCCCACUGUGUGGGCUGCGGGAUUGGAACUCAGAAUCCCAGAAUCAUCACCACAGGCCUUCCUAUCAUCCCUCAUCUCCGUUGGUUCAGUUCCUCUAGAGACCCUGACAAGAACUGGCUGAUGGUGGAGCACCCCUAAGGAUGGCUAAGCAGUGAGGGAGGAGCCCAUUGAACUUGGGAGGAGCAGGACACACCCUGCCAUUCCACAGAAGGUGGUGAUCAGCCGCUCUCCAGCGGCACUGGAAGAUUUGAUUACGUACCUGUGAAGAGCACUGUUUGAAAAUGUUGCUUGACGUCUUGGGCCUUUUACUGACUUAACACACUCUGGAUUGCUCUUGGGAGUUAAUUUAGGGGAUGGAGAGAUAACUCAGGGGUUAGAG
rnacentral:sRNA from 1 species